rnacentral:rRNA from 1 species
CAGCAGCCGCGGGAAUACGUAGGGUGCAAGCGUUAAUCGGCAUUACUGGGCGUAAAGCGUGCGCAGGCGGUUAUAUAAGUCAGAUGUGAAAUCCCCGGGCUCAACCUGGGAACUGCAUUUGAGACUGUAUGGCUAGAGUGUGUCAGAGGGGGGUAGAAUUCCACGUGUAGCAGUGAAAUGCGUAGAUAUGUGGAGGAAUACCGAUGGCGAAGGCAGCCCCCUGGGAUAACACUGACGCUCAUGCACGAAAGCGUGGGGAGCAAACAGGAUUAGAUACCCGCGUAGUCCCUGUCUCUUAUAC